rnacentral:pre_miRNA from 1 species
CAUGCUCAAUAAAGACUUCAGGGGACAGUCGGUGUCUAGCAGUUUCCUACUGGCCCCUUAAGUCCCGGUUGACGUU